GUUGGGUUGGCCGAGUGGUUAUGGCGUUGGUCUUAAGAGUCGUUGCUCUCACCACCAUUGUCGCGAGACGUCAAGGGUUCGAACCCCUUACCCAACA